rnacentral:rRNA from 1 species
CACGUGAGAAUUUGCCUUUAGAGGGGGACAACAAUUGGAAACGAAUGCUAAUACCCCAUAUGCUUUCGAGUGAAAUGGAUUUAUCCGCCUAGAGAGAAGCUCGCGGCUGAUUAGCUUGUUGGUAAGGUAAGAGCUUACCAAGGCGACGAUCAGUAUCNGGUUUGAGAGGACGAUCAGACACACUGGAACUGAGACACGGUCCAGACUCCUACGGGAGGCAGCAGUGGGGAAUUUUCCGCAAUGGGCGAAAGCCUGACGGAGCAAUACCGCGUGAGGGAAGAAUGCCUAUGGGUUGUAAACCUCUUUUUCAGGGAGGAAUAAAAUGACGUGUACCUGAAGAAUAAGCAUCGGCUAACUCCGUG